rnacentral:tRNA from 1 species
UCCUGGCUAGCGCAGUUGGUAGAGCGCUCCACUGGUAAUGGAGAAGUCCUAUGGUUCGAUACCAGGACCUGGUG